CUUCAUUGCCAUUAAGACGGCCUGCUGACGAUCCGGUGGAGCACGUGGGUUCAAAACUUGGAUCACUGAAGUCAUCAUGUCAAGACAUCCAGUUUUAAAUCGUGCUACAGGCUGCAGCGAGGACAGACUUGCAGAGAGGGCAGACUUAAACAGGGAUACUUGGGUCUGCUGCAAUCAAAUCACUAAGACAGGGCCCUGUGUGGUUCGGUUCCAGAGAUAUUAGGAUAUGGCAGUGGUGGAGAAUAAAGGGUUCAUGGGUCUUAUCCAUUUUCUGGAUCCCACCUAUGCACUACCAAGCAGGUAAUUGCUUUGAAUAAUAUGGUGGCCUCAAAAUACAAGGAAGCUAAGAGCAAGGCCAAGGCUAAUAUGGAAAACGUCAAGGCUUUUCAAGUCUUUUUAACCUCUGAUAU